rnacentral:misc_RNA from 1 species
CCAAUAGCGUAUAUUAAAGUUGUUGCAGUUAAAAAGCUCGUAGUUGAAUUUCGAGAUCGGCUUACUGGUCGUGCUUUUGUACGUACUGGUAAAUCGGUUUCUCCUUUCUGACGAACUUUAAUGCCAUUAAUUUGGUGUUUUAGGGAAUCAGGACUGUUACUUUGAAAAAAUUAGAGUGUUUAAAGCAGGCUCACGCUUGAAUACAUUAGCAUGGAAUAACGGAAUAGGACGUUUGAUUUUAUUUUGUUGGUUUCUAGGAUCGACGUAAUGAUUAAUAGGGAUAGUUGGGGGCAUUAGUAUUCAAUUGUCAGAGGUGAAAUUCUUGGAUUUAUUGAAGACUAACUACUGCGAAAGCAUUUGCCAAGGAUGUUUUCAUUAAUCAAGAACGAAAGUUAGGGGAUCGAAGACGAUCAGAUACCGUCGUAGUCUUAACCAAAAACUAUGCCGACUAGGGAUCGGAUGAUGUUAAUUUUUUAAUGACUCAUUCGGCGCCUUACG